UACCAGCACCCCGAGUGGUCGGGACGAUUAUUGGGCCUAAAGCAUCCGUAGCCGGUUCUACAAGUCUUCCGUUAAAUCCACCUGCUCAACAGAUGGGCUGCGGAGGAUACUAUAGAGCUAGGAGGCGGGAGAGGCAAGCGGUACUUAGUGGGUAGGGGUAAAAUCCGUUGAUCCAUUGAAGACCACCAGUGGCGAAGGCGGCUUGCCAGAACGCACUCGACGGUGAGGGAUGGAAAGCUGGGGAGCAACCGGGAUU
rnacentral:rRNA from 1 species